AGCAGCCGCGGUAAUUCCAGCUCCAAUAGCGUAUAUUAAAGUUGUUGCAGUUAAAAAGCUCGUAGUUGAAUUUCGGGAUCAGUAUGUUGGUCGUGCUUCGGUACGUACUGUCAUUACUGGUUUCUACCUUCUGAAGAACCUUGAUGUCAUUAAUUUGGUGUCUUGGGGAAUCAGGACUGUUACUUUGAAAAAAUUAGAGUGUUUAAAGCAAGCAUACGCUUGAAUACAUUAGCAUGGAAUAAUGAAAUAGGACGUUUGAUUCUAUUUUGUUGGUUUCUAGGAUCGACGUAAUGAUUAAUAGGGAUAGUUGGGGGCAUUAGUAUUCAAUUGUCAGAGGUGAAAUUCUUGGAUUUAUUGAAGACUAACUACUGCGAAAGCAUUUGCCAAGGAUGUUUUCAUUAAUCAAGAACGAAAGUUAGGGGAUCGAAGACGAUCAGAUACCGUCGUAGUCUUAAACCAUAAACUAUGCCGACUAGGGAUCGGAUGAUGUUAAUUUUUAAUGACUCAUUCGGCGCCUUAA
rnacentral:rRNA from 1 species